rnacentral:misc_RNA from 1 species
UUUUGACUCUUUGUCGACACAUAUCUUUUUUAUACGAAUUUCAUUCGAGAUUUUUAGCCAAAGAUCGUUUACACAAUGUCUUGAAAAGUAAACAAGCUGCGCGUUAUCGGGAAGUUUCUUUUGGUGAGGCAACUGCCCGAGAUUUUGUGAAGUGAUGUGGUUAAACCGCUACUUUUGUGAAGUUUUUCUACCAUAACGAGUGUUAUUGUGCUAACAGUUUAUUUUCUCACGUUCGUGUUCCGUGUUCUAGAUGGUCGUCGGACGACCUGAUAAUGUCAGAAUACGAUCUGCAGUUCCAAGCAGACUUGGAGAAGGCGCAGGCUCUGAGUUUAGAGAGCCUAGCGCUCGAGCAAUUUCGGAGAAAGAAGCAACUGAGCUCAGGUGAAAAUUAUAAUGGCAGCGGGCCCGCCAGUGGCCGCCUGCGCGAGGAGCCCGACGCACCGCCGCCCGCGCUGCCGCCGCCGCCGCGCCGCCCCUCCAGAGGCCGCACCAGCACGGACUCCUCCAAAUCUACAAGCACAAGUCCUACGAGAAACGAAAGCAGUGACCUCAUAUCUUUUGCGAGCCCGACAAGCAAGACAGCACCUAAAGAUCCGCACGCGUCUCUCAAAGAGUACAUCGAACAGUUUAACAACGUGACCCAGCAGACGCAAGAACUAGCCCUAACCACAACAACACAACAAUCAACCAUGAACAACCACUAUUACAACCAACGCCCCGGUUUCCCCCCCUACCCGUACAACCAGCCCCCCUACAACCAGUACCAGUUCCAAUCCCCCCCUUAUCCAAGCACCCCCUACGGCAUGCCGACACCUAUGACCCCUCCAUACCCUUACUAUCCUCCUGAGUCUCCAUAUACGGCUCCCAGAUUCCCGAAUGUCCCAUAUAAUCAGACUAGAAUGUCCUCUCCUACGCCUUACGUCGGUUACCCCCCACCUACAGUCCCCCCGCAUACUCCAGUAUACAACUAUAACACAACUAACAUGGUCUCACGACCCACGCCCCCGACUCCUAGUAUAUAUCCUCAGUUGAAUCAGGUGCAUAGCUACCCGCCCUUGCAGGGAACUACUAGUACUAGUACUACUGGUCAGGAAGUGAAGGAAACAGUGGAUAGCAGUAAAGUGAGGAAGACGUCAGAAGUCAGUACUGGGUCGAACGAAUCCGCGGACACCGUGGGCAGCCUGCCCCACUCCAUGAACCUGAUCGACUUCGGGCGCCAGCGCCACUCCGGGCAAGGUAGCGUGCGCGUGAGUGUGCUCGAGGCUUUCGACCCGCUACUCACAGAGCCGAGUAGCCCGGAAUAUGCAGUGGCUAGCGAAGGCUCCGGCAGCGUGUAUGAAGAGUACGACCCGCUAGACUUCCUCUACGGAGAGACAGAGAUGCGAGAGACUCCUGUUUAUGGGAAGAUAGAUAGAAGGAAAGAGAGCGCGAUACUGCCGUCGCCUCCGCCUAAGAACAUACCAAGCGUGCCGGCUGUUGUUAAGAGGACAACUACUAAUAAACUAUACGACUGCAUAAUAAAAUGUAGGACGAGGAACAGUGAUAGUGAGCACAACGCGUUUUUGAAGAUGGUGUUAGAUGUAAGAAAAAGAUUUGUCCAUUCUGAUCAUUCGACGAACCCUGGGCACGUAGUCGCGGCGCGCUCUGGAGGAAGAUACCCUCCUAACACCAGUAUCAAGAUUCUAGUCCACCACAAUCACUCGGAGGAACCGAUCACCUUCACGUCUGAUGUGGAGUCAACCGUGGAACAUGUGAUAUUGACCGUAGUUUGUUCACUGGACGAAGAUACGAGAGAUGAUAUGUCUGAAUAUAUGUUAAGAGUAUGGGGUGCCAAAGAAUACCUAACGCCGGGCAGCUCGCUAAGCGAGUACGACUAUAUUCGCGAGUGCGUUAGAUUAGAGAAGGACGUCCGACUGUGUCUACACGAAGGAAAGGACCGCGCGUUAGCAAGGACAGAGAGAGAUGACGCUAGAGACGCGCAUCUGUCGCUGGAUGACUUGAUUCCUGUGCAGGGGGCGGCACCGUUGCUGUCUUUUGAUAAUUUGUCUAUUUUACUAGAAACCCUAGAAGGCGAGCUAUCCCGCGCAGUGGGCGUAGUGGGUGCAGAAGGCACAUGCUCGCCCAAAGCUGUCUUCCAAGCUGUCAAAGCCAUCUGUGCGUUAGCUGGAGGAGUAGAAACCCUUCAUGUCACUCACACACUCAAUGCUUUCGCGCAAGCAGCUACGGGGGCAUCGGGCACCAACAACCUCAUAACCCCCGAGAUUCAAGCGGACACCGGCCAGUAUUGCUCCGUGUCCAUCCGCUCCGCGACCGCGAGGGAAACCGUCCAGCACCAGUGCAACCGCGUGCGAGACGCCGUCCGCUCACUCAUAGCACUCUACACUAGAACUAGACUGCUGGAUUUCCAGCUGGCUGAUUCCCACUUGACACCACAGGGUGCUUCUGAUAAAGCGACCCCAGCCUACAAGAUGACAGAGACGACGCUAUUCUGCAUAGAAGCAGUGCACCGGCUGCCACCGAGCUGGGCGCACGAGGACUACGUGUUCCACGCGCAACUGCACUACGGCACGAGGCCGCUCAAGGCUCUGCGGCUCACGCACACUUCCAGGAUCGACUCUGCCGGUUUCUAUAACAGAAUCAUCUUUGACACAUGGUUGAACCUCGAAGACGUCCCGAUAAGCCAGCUGCCGCGCGAGGCCCGCCUUGUACUAUCCCUGUACGGGCGCACCCGUCGUCCGGACGACGCGCACAACGAGAACGACAACGACAAGCAGAACAACGACGACGACGUGCUGUAUGACCUCGUCGAGUUGGGCUGGGCUAGCUUACAGCUGUUUGAUUUCGAUGGCAUGCUAGCGUCCGGUUCGUACGUGCUGCCGCUGUGGCCGGCGUGCUGCGACCGGCGCCUGGGCCCCGCGCCGCACCCCAUGGACGAGCCGCCGGAACCCUUCCCCGUUGUCAAUAUUGAAAUCCCAACGUACAUCCACCACGGCGUGCGUUGGACGGCGGGCGAAAUAGAGAAAUCCAUAACAGACCCACUGCCGCCGUUCGACUCUUUAGAUGGUCACACACAAUCUCAGCUGCUACAUCUUAUAGAACAAGGCGCGUACCAGAGAAUGCCCACCGAUUGUAGAGAGGUGAUGUGGGAGAAACGCCAGUACCUUGUCCAGCUUCCCGGAGCACUGCCUUUAGUACUUCUAGCCGCUACGAACUGGUACGGCGAGCAUCGAGCACAACUAGUGAAUCUGCUAAGGCGGUGGGAAAAGCCCUCUCCUCUCAACGCCAUGCACCUUCUGCUGCCCUGUUUCCCUGACUCGGAAGUGCGAGAAACGGCCACGAGUCUCAUCAACGCUAUGUCCGACGAUGAUCUGUGCCGCGUGCUACCACAGCUGACUCAAGCUUUACGACAUGAGACCUAUCUGACUAGUCCUCUAGCAGAACUGUUAUUGUCAAGAGCCUUAGCGGCACCGGCGGUAGCUCACAGAUUGUUCUGGCUUCUUGUCCAUUCGCUACCAAAUGUUCCACAGGCACCAAGUCAAGAGUUCUUAGGCAUAACUUUAGAAGACAACGCGACAGAGCCACAAGAAUCUGUUGAAUGCGUGACGGCUACGUGGCGAUAUAGACUCAUGUUGAGGGCUUUACUAGCGGUCUGCGGAGAACAACUCACACGGACAUUGGUUAGGCAACAGUUGCUUGUGAAGACACUGUCCGAAAUAGCGCUCUCAGUGAAAGCCGCCAAGGACGGCGGGCGAGCUCGCGCGCUCAGCGCCGGCGGCGAGAGGCUGGCCGCUCUACUGCGCGCCGAGCCCGCCGCUCUACCUUUAGCUCUACAUCAAUAUGUACAUGACGUCGAUGUCAAGUCGUGUAUGUACUUCAAUUCGAAUACUCUACCUCUCAAAAUUAACUUCAUCGGCUGUGACAACGCUGUCGUGCCUGCCAUGUUUAAGGUCGGUGAUGACUUGAGACAAGACGCCCUCGUGCUUCAAGUGAUGAAAGUGAUGGAUAGUCUGUGGCUCAAAGCCAACUUGGAUCUCCGGAUGGUCACCUUCCAGACAUUGCCUACGAGUGAUAGAAGAGGCAUGAUAGAAAUAGUAGCGGAGGCGGAGACCCUCCGAGCCAUACAGACAGAGUGGGGCCUGACGGGCUCGUUCAAGGACAAACCUAUAGCUGAAUGGCUCGCCAAACACAACCCCUCAGAGCUCGAGUACCAGCGCGCCAGGGACAAUUUCACCGCUUCGUGCGCCGGCUACAGUGUAGCAACAUAUCUCCUGGGCAUAUGCGAUCGGCACAACGACAACAUUAUGUUGAAGACGUCAGGCCAUCUCUUCCAUAUUGACUUUGGCAAGUUCUUGGGAGAUGCACAGAUGUUUGGCAAUUUUAAAAGAGACCGUGCACCAUUCGUCCUAACCAACGACAUGGUAUAUGUCAUAAACGGAGGCGACCGUCCUACGCAACGGUUCCAGCAUUUCGUCGAACAGUGCUGUAUGGCCUUCAACGUUAUUCGGCAACAUCACGACCACAUAUUAGAUCUGUUCGCUUUGAUGGCAGCAUCCGGCGUCCCCGGGGUGACGUCGACGGCGGUGAGCUACGUGCGCUCGGCGCUCAUGCCCGACGCCACCAACGCCGAGGCGGCCGCCGCCUUCGCUAGGCUCAUACACUCCUCGCUCAAGAGCAGGUUCACGCCUAUAAACUUCUUCCUGCACAACCUGGCGCAGUUCCGCGCGAGUGGCGACACCAACACCAGCUCUUCGGAACUACUGUCCUUCAUGCCCAGGACUUACACAAUGGCGCAAGAAGGCCGCCUAGUCAGCGUGGAAUGUCUCGGCUUCGAGAAACGCUACGACCCAGAAAAGCAUUACGUCUAUGCGCUCCGCAUCUACCGGCAGGGCCAAGCCACGCCGUCCGUGCUAUACCGGUCAUACAAGCACUUUACAGAGCUGUACCAGAAAAUCUGUCUGCACUUCCCGCUGGCUAAAGUUCAUAGUUUGCCAUCCGGUCUCCACGUCGGCCGCUCAAACAUCCGGCAAGUAGCGGAACGACGUUUCGGCGAUGUCCAAGCGUUCCUCACCUCGCUCUUCAGUCUCGCCGACGAAAUCGCUCAUUCAGACCUGGUGUAUACCUUCUUCCAUCCACUGUUGAGGGACCAGCAAGAUGUGGAACCACAGAGAAUGAAGAAUAGAGGAGAGACCGCGGAGGCUGAGAACACCGGGUCCGGCUCACUAAAGAUGUCGGUUCAGUACGCCGGCGGAGUGUUGUCCGUGCUCAUACUGCACGCGCAGUCGCUGGCCGCCACCGCGCAGGGCAUCCCGCCCAACCCUUAUGUCAAGGUGUACCUUGUACCGGACCCUACCAAAGAGACGAAGCGAAAAACACGCGUGCUGAAAAGGAAUUCGCACCCCUCCUUCAUGGAAAUGUUGGAGUACCGCCUGCCCAUAGACGUGGUACAGAACCGGUGUCUACAAGCCACGGUGUGGCACUACGACUCCUUACAGGAAAACACAUUCCUCGGCGGAGUGAUGAUACCCCUCAACACUCUACCUUUGCGUCAAGAAACCGUUGCGUGGUACCCUCUGGAAUACAUACCCCGGUAGCUACUGCUCGCAGGGUCCGCGCUGUGGACCGCUAGAUAGGACUGCUAUAUUGUGGAGAAUCGAAUGAAGACUUCGAAAAAGCCACAAGCCAAUUACGGCAGCGGUAGACGCAACCACAACUUUCUGGCAGCUGUAUAGUGCCCGUGGCGAACAGGUAUCGCUCAGAACAGGUAUCGCUUGGCGCGUUACUAGUACCUAGAUGUCAAAUAAAAAGGGAAUCUCCCUCCUGUCGUAGUACUAUAAACCGGUCAGCCCUACCUAUACCUAACUUGGGUCAAAUUUAAGGUACGGUUACGUUGGAUUAAGCAUUAGCCUGGCAUUCGGGUCAGUGCUAACUAGUACUUUUUAGGAGACG